UGGCGAACGGGUGAGUAAUACAUCGGAACGUGUCGAGAAGAGGGGAAUAACCACCCGAAAGGGUGGCUAAUACCGCAUAAAUUCUGAGGAAGAAAGCUGGGGACCUAGGAAUAGGCCUAGCGCUUUUUGAGCGGCCGAUGUCGGAUUAGCUAGUUGGUGAGGUAAAGGCUCACCAAGGCGAAGAUCUGUAGCGGGUCUGAGAGGAUGAUCCGCCACACUGGGACUGAGACACGGCCCAG
rnacentral:rRNA from 1 species